rnacentral:rRNA from 1 species
GACGAACGCUGGCGGCGUGCUUAACACAUGCAAGUCGAACGGUAAGGCCCUUCGGGGUACACGAGUGGCGAACGGGUGAGUAACACGUGGGUGAUCUGCCCUGCACUUCGGGAUAAGCCUGGGGAACUGGGUCUAAUACCGGAUAGGACCACUGCCUGCAUGGGUGGUGGUGGAAAGCGUUUGCGGUGUGGGAUGGGCCCGCGGCCUAUCAGCUUGUUGGUGGGGUGAUGGCCUACCAAGGCGACGACGGGUAGCCGGCCUGGGAGGGUGACCGGCCACACUGGGACUGAGAUACGGCCCAGACUCCUACGGGAGGCAGCAGUGGGGAAUAUUGCACAAUGGGCGCAAGCCUGAUGCAGCGACGCCGCGUGAGGGAUGACGGCCUUCGGGUUGUAAACCUCUUUCAGCACCGACGAAGCGCAAGUGACGGUAGGUGCAGAAGAAGGACCGGCCAACUACGUGCCAGCCGCCGCCGUAA